GUCUCUGUGGUCUAAUGGUUAUGACGCUUGUCUUUGAAAGCGAGAGGUCACAGGUUCGAAUCUCGUCAGAGGCA